ensembl:lncRNA
GCUGAGAUGCAGUGGAGCGGAGGUGUGAGUGCCUGGCUUAAAACAGGACAUAUUAGCUGCAUUUAACCUUCAGUUACUUUUUAUAUAGUUAGGUAGGAGUCAGACCAUGUUUCUUUUUAGCUGAAAAACAUUACACCAGAGAGACAGCCAGGUUCAUAAUAGAUAAAAGGAAGUUUUUUCAAAAAAAGGAGCCACAUUCAGUCCAAAGAGGGAGAGAGGAAAGAGGGGAAUGUGAGGAGAAAGUACAAGGUCAGGAAGAACCAGGUAAGAAAACAGACAGGGAACAGUGACAGGCAAAACAGAAACUGUUAAACUGACGAAGAGAAAAAACCUGAUUUUACUCAUACAGUCUGGAAGUUGUGCUCUCCCUAUAUUAAAGCUGCUAUACAGAAUCUGCAAAACAAACUGGGUUGAAACACUUUUGACCCUCUUUAACAACAUUCCAACAUAACAUUAUAAUUGAUUGGGGAGAUUAAAAUUAAUGAUAUAUUUUUAUGUGGUUCAGCCACAACUCUACUAAAACCUCAGCCAGUAAUAGGUAGGCUAACCUUUGGACCGUCCAGUUGUCUGUAUGACUGCUGCAGUACGUGCACCACAUUUGUGCACUAUCAGAAAGUGCCAAACAGCCCUGGUGGAGUGAGGAGCUGUAAAGAGAAGCAGAGUGCUCUGUUUAUAUUCUAAAAAUGUUUUAAGCUAUCUUGUUUCAAAGAUUCUGUACUGCAGCUUUAAAUGUUUUCCAAAAGCAC